GUCUCUGGCAAGAAUGUUGCUCUUUAACUCAUCCCCCAAGGCAAGACUCUGAGUCUGAGGACCUGGACAAUACGAGGCAAGGCUUCAAGUGUGAGAUGCCUGUGGGCAGAGUACGGUUGAAAACCUGAGAGAUGGAUAGUGGAGGUUGAGCCCAGAAAUGCGGAGAGAAAGAGUACAGUAAAAAGAAGAAUCACAGAGAAUUGAGAUGAGGCUGAGAAGACAGAUAUGCUGAUAAAAACAGAGGACCGGAAAGUUCCUGGGCCCUGAUCUAGAGUGGUCCUUUACUGACUUCGCCUCCCCUGGAGACUCACAGCACACCUCGUAGGCUGUAAGAAUCAAACCGCUCCUCAUGCCAUACAGCCCACAAAUAACGAAGGCAGUAUUAGCAAGUCACAACGUCAGCAUUCAGAGGACCAGAAAGAAGUAAAGGCACAGACAGAAAACACUCAGCAGGGGUGGAGACUGGAGCAAAUGGAAAGAAGGGAAUGAAGAACAGGAGGAAGGUCAAGUUUAGCUCAAAGUCUGCAGUGAAGGAAAAAGAAAAAGAGUAAAAUAAGAAAUGCAAGUUAAACUGUGGAGAGGGAAGAGAGAGCUAAAAGGGGGCAAAAAUGAAAGACACUGGACCUAAGAGACAAAGAUCCUGCUAUCAGGUCCUUCCAGAGACUGGUCAUUUCCAACGCAACAAAAAAAGGAUGGCAAGCUGGGUGUGGUAGGACGCGCUUAUAUUCCCAGCACUCAAUAGGCAGAGCCAGGAAGAUCUCUGUCAUCUCGAAAGCAACUUGGUCUACAGGGAGAGUUCCAGGCCAGUCAGAGCUACAGAGUGCAGCCCUGUCUCAAAACCUAAGAGGGGGAUGGGAAGCCAGGCUUGAAGACCCAGACCUGCAAUCUCAGCAGUGAACAAGGCUGAAGUCAGCCCAGCCUACAAAGCUACAUAGUGA
rnacentral:lncRNA from 1 species